rnacentral:rRNA from 1 species
AUUGAACGCUGGCGGCAUGCUUUACACAUGCAAGUCGAACGGCAGCACGGGGGCAACCCUGGUGGCGAGUGGCGAACGGGUGAGUAAUGCAUCGGAACGUGCCCUGUCGUGGGGGAUAACACAUCGAAAGAUGUGCUAAUACCGCAUACGACCUGAGGGUGAAAGCGGGGGACCGUAAGGCCUCGCGCGAUAGGAGCGGCCGAUGUCGGAUUAGCUAGUUGGUGGGGUAAAGGCCUACCAAGGCGACGAUCAGUAGCUGGUCUGAGAGGACGACCCGCCACACCGGGACUGAGACACGGCCCAGACUCCUACGGGAGGCAGCAGUGGGGAAUUUUGGACAAUGGGGGCAACCCUGAUCCAGCCAUGCCGGGUGCGGGAAGAAGGCCUUCGGGUUGUAAAGCUCUUUCGGCCGGGAAGAAAUCGCACGGGCUAAUACCCUGUGUGGAUGACGGUACCGGAAUAAGAAGCACCGGCUAACUACGUGCCAGCCGCCGCGGUAAUAC